UACGAGAGGUGCAAGCGUUGUCCGGAUUUAUUGGGCGUAAAGCGUUUCUAAAGGCGCUUUUGUAAGUUAUUUUUCAAAGACCGAAGCUCAACUUCGGGAAGGGAAGUAAUACUGCAAGAGUUGAAAUAUUUCGGGGUUACUGGAACUAUCGGUGUAGGGGUGAAAUCCGUUGAUAUCGAUAGGAACUCCAAGGGCGAAGGCAGGUAACGUAGGAAUUUUUUGACGCUGAUGAACGAAAGGCUAGGGGAGCGAAAGGG
rnacentral:rRNA from 1 species